rnacentral:rRNA from 1 species
UACGAAGGGGGCUAGCGUUGCUCGGAAUCACUGGGCGUAAAGCGCACGUAGGCGGCUUUCUAAGUCAGGGGUGAAAUCCUGGAGCUCAACUCCAGAACUGCCUUUGAUACUGGAGAGCUUGAGUCCGGAAGAGGUGAGUGGAACUCCGAGUGUAGAGGUGAAAAUUCGUAGAUAUUCGGAAAGAACACCAGUGGCGAAGGCGGCUCACUGGUCCGGUACUGACGCUGAUGUGCGAAAAGCGUGGGGGAGCAAACAGGG